GCUCGGUUGGUGUAGUCCGGCCAAUCAUGUUGGCCUUUCGACAACCAUUGGAACACCAGGUUGGAAGUAAGCCGACGACAGGGGUUCAAAUCCCCUACCGAGCA
rnacentral:tRNA from 1 species